UCAGUAUUUUAAUAAUAUUAUAUUUUCAUGCUUUUAGUGAAGAACUGUUUUACUAUCAGUCAUAUUUUAAAACGGCCAGUUUCGAAAUAACCAAAGAAAACAACGAUUCUAAACCGGAACGUGCCUGAAGGAAUCAAUUGUAGUUCUCUUUUAUAGCGGUUUAAAAUGUAUCUGAAAGUAUAUACAGACGUUUGCAAUAAUUUAAUCACAGACGUAGAAAUAUAACCAAAAUUCACGACGACCAUUGCAUUGAUAGAGCAGUUGUUUAAAUAAAAGAGCAGCAUCAGUUUUGGAAAUGUCACAUUUUAUAUUUGUGUCAGUUUUUAGUUAAGUAUAUGGAAAACUACAAGCGGCGUGUAUUUCAGUAUGCUAACGUGACGUUUUUCAGCAGGUUUCAUUUGAUUUUAUGAAGCAGAAUUAGUUAACACUCAAUUCAACCCCUCGACAGCAGUUCUACUAAAUGUCCACACGAGGGCAGCAUUGGAUAGGAAAUGAAAGCUAAAGUCUCGUCUGUCUCCCUGAAGUUCGCUACCAAUUUUAAAGAGCUGAGGACAGCUCAGCCGGAGGCGUGUGUCUGUGUGAAACGACUUUAUUUAAUGUGAUAAGUUUGUGGAAGAAGGACGCCAUGUUAGGAGGCGUUUGCUAUUGUUUUACACAGACUACGAGGGACAGCGCUCGUUAAACCAGGUCUGUGAGGAUGAGAAGGUCUCCACAGUCUGGAGUCUGGUCUCUGACAGGCUCAACAUACCUGUCAAUCAACAGGGGACUCCUCUACAAAGGCAAGGUGCUGGCAGGUAGGCUGAACAGCACAGCACAGCUCACCCCUCCUCUCACGCCUCGCCUCACCCCGGGUCAGUGUGGCACAGCCUGCCUGCUCUUCUGAACAAACACUUCAGCCCUGCCGACGCAGUGAGAGUCUGGAGCAGCUACACAAGGAUUACGAGCGGAGGCUGCGCUUGUUGAGCCUGGAUGAUAUGGAGCGGCUGGCGACUCGCAUGCUUCACCCUGAGGCUGUGGAGUGCAUGGAGCUGUCCUUCCUGGACUGAGGAAUACUGCUGCUGCCCUCUCCACCUCUCCCCUCUCCCCCCUCUUCUCCUCCCCCUCUCCCCUCUCCUCUCGUCUCCACCUCUCUCCUCCCCCCUCUCCCCUCUUCUCCCCCUCUCUCAUCCCAGGUGCAGCUGGGACAGGCCAGUGUGGACCUGUGAUAGUCAGGGAGGAGAGGUGCAGUCGGGACCGGCCAGUGUGGAGCUGUGAUAGUCAGGGAGAGGAGGUGCAGCUGGGACAGGCCAGUGUGGAGCUGUGAUAGUCAGGGAGGAUUACGAGCGGAGGCUGCGCUUGUUGAGCCUGGAUGAUAUGGAGGAGGCCAUCAGCAUAGCCACUGCGCCACCAGCUCCCACAGGAAAGCUUUGGUUCACACUAUAUAUAAGCUUAAUUAACACAUUCUUUGAAACAAGCAAAGAACUCACCUUGAUUUGAACCCAGUCCAUCUCACUUCCUUGGAGGAGUCUGCUUUUUCAUUGCCUUAUAUAAGAAAUUAACCAAGUCUUUGAAAACAAAGGAGGGACUCACCGGGAUUUGAUCCCAGUCCCCCAAGGUGGACAGCACAGCAUGCUAGUGAACUAGCCCACUGCACCACCUGUCUGCACGUGACAAUCCAGCAUUCCACAGAAGCCGUUAUAUCAUCCUCUUUAUAUUAUUAUUUGUAUGAUACCACUGACCCCUUGUGUUACGUAAACACAAGUCUAUCAAAAUGGGUAAAGUGUUUGAAAAUGAAAAGGAAACACCUGCCCAAAAUGGGUUUGAACCCGCUACCCAGGGAAUCAUGUGUCCCUGCUGUAUCAACAAAGCUAUCCAGCUGACUGGUGUUCCUGUUGUUUGAAACACAUUAUUACAUUUUGUGGUGAUGACCUGGGGGCUAAGGUGAUUCAGCUUUGUUUCAUUUGUGAUGAAAUGGAUUCAAAGCCAAACCUUAUAAACAGGUAAGUUUAACAAAAAUUUUGAAAUUGAUGGAUUAACACUUGUGCUUUACAUGUGACUUGAAGCAACAACCUUGGAAGUCAGAGUCCAGUGCUCUACCAACUGAGCCAGCCAGAGAUCUGCUCUCUCCUGCUGUCAAAUGACCUCCAGUACAUUAACUAAUGAUUUGUACAAAAUGCAGAUCAUUGGAAAUAUCCAAUAAAAG